GACGAACGCUGGCGGCGUGCUUAACACAUGCAAGUCGAACGGAAAGGCCCUGCUUUUGUGGGGUGCUCGAGUGGCGAACGGGUGAGUAACACGUGAGUAACCUGCCCUUGACUUUGGGAUAACUUCAGGAAACUGGGGCUAAUACCGGAUAGGAGCUCCUGCUGCACGGUGGGGGUUGGAAAGUUUCGGCGGUUGGGGAUGGACUCGCGGCUUAUCAGCUUGUUGGUGGGGUAGUGGCUUACCAAGGCUUUGACGGGUAGCCGGCCUGAGAGGGUGACCGGCCACAUUGGGCCUGAGGUGCGGCCCAGACUCCUACGGGAGGCAGCAGUGGGGAAUAUUGCACGAUGGGCGGAAGCCUGAUGCAGCAACGCCGCGUGCGGGAUGACGGCCUUCGGGUUGUAAACCGCUAUCGCCUGUGACGAAGCGUGAGUGACGGUAAUGGGUAAAGAAGCACCGGCUAACUACGUG
rnacentral:rRNA from 1 species